UCCUCGACCAAACAAGGCGUUUAAAAUCUGACUUCCUGUCGCAAGUCCCGGACCGUCUAUGCGGGCUCCACUCGAGAACUUUAUCCUCUAGUGACCCGAACGGACCAAGAAGGUUGCCGUAAGUAGCAUUCGUCAUUGGGAGUUGCGGGUCUUGCUCAUCCUCCAAAGCCUUACUCUCAACCGCUUUAGUCACCUUCUGCUUACCACGUGAAGUCCGGCUAGCUUUUCUGGUCUUCCGCCUGGAACUCAAGCUCCGGCGAGAAGCCACGUCAUCUUUCUUGCUCAGACUAACAUCCGUCCUCUUCUUAUUCACGCCAGCAUCAUCUUUAGCGGGAGUAACACUCACCAAAGCAUCAGAAGUCUCAUUAGCAACGGAACCCAUCCCUUUGCUCUUCGCCACAUCCAAGUGCACGACACACUUGGAAUCAAAUUCGUUUGGUGAAGCCUCAAGUGGCUUGGGACAGAGUUAUUUGGUUUGCUCAGGGAGUUCCAUGACAUUCUUUCAUCACCUGGUUAUCUAUCUGGAACCGGUUAUCUACAGGAGACCGCAUGAGAAUUUGGGGGCAAACUCAGGGCUGUAUGCUAUGUGGAGAGCCUGACGAGACGUGCGAUCAUAUCUAUUUCGCAUGUCCGUAUUAUUUCACAGUAUGGCUGCGAGUGGGGGGAGGAUUACUUCAAGAUCAAGCUUUUCCAGAUUGGACUGAAACUCUCAAUUUCUUGCAGAGAGGAGGUCGGAAUGUGAUGGAUCAUAUUCUCCUUCGUUUGGUUUUCCAAUCAACAGUCUAUUUUCUCUGGAGAGAACGCAACACCAGACGUCAUAAUGGCAUGUGGAGUUCUCACGAGCAGACAUCUCAACUCAUCACCAAAGCAGUAAAAAAUAGGAUAUUUUUUUUGGAUUACAGAUUCCUUCAUAAGCUGACAGGUCUUCUAAAAAGAUAGUUUGAAGUUACGUAAUUCUUUGAUUUUUGGAUGGGGUUUCUAGUUUUGGACUUUUUGAAGUGGUCCAUACAAAUUUUAUACUUGUACAUACGCUUUUUGUUCAUCAAUAUUUUACAUUUCAACAAAAAAAUACCGAACAUCUUUGGUCUCCUAUCAGCUUUUAGCUUAGAAACUUUUAUAAGCGAAAAUUGUAGUAUUUUAGAGGAAUUGUGCCUGAUUUAUGGAUUAAUCCCAGCUACAAAGGCCAGCUCAUCGUUAACAGAUAGAGGAACAAUCACUGGUUGUGAUCUAAGCCUUAUAUGCUCCUCUUCGCACCAUGUUAACCACUGUUUGCUCUGUGAUUCCGAUAGAAAAAUUAGCAUCUUCACUCGGUCAAGCACCGGUUUAGCUCGGUCAAAGUAUUCUCUUCGGUUCUCCAUUAUCCACCAAGCUAUUUGACUUCCACCAGCUGGAUGAUGAUUCAUGUAUUGAUCUGAAAGAAAAUGAACAACAGUUAAUAAAGAUCUGCUUUGCUUUGAUUGUUAAUUAAGGGAUAAUGAAUCCUUAUUACCUAUCCAUGAUGUACAUACUGCUGACCCUGCGAUGAUCAAAUCUGCUUUCAUGGCAGUCUUGAAGCUGAGUUCUCCUUUGUCUUCAACCACUUUGAUCCUUCUCCUAGUGAGCUCUUGCAUCAACCCACCUCUCCUGCUGAGAACAACUGCACUGACUGUUGCACCGCAGCUCAAAAGCUCCGACGCCAGCUCCAUCAUCGAAAUAGGAGCGCCAGUCAUCGAGAGCUCGUGAAAAACCAAAACGAAUCUCCUCGACCAAACAAGGCGUUUAAAAUCUGACUUCCUGUCGCAAGUCCCGGACCGUCUAUGCGGGCUCCACUCGAGAACUUUAUCCUCUAGUGACCCGAACGGACCAAGAAGGUUGCCGUAAGUAGCAUUCGUCAUUGGGAGUUGCGGGUCUUGCUCAUCCUCCAAAGCCUUACUCUCAACCGCUUUAGUCACCUUCUGCUUACCACGUGAAGUCCGGCUAGCUUUUCUGGUCUUC
rnacentral:lncRNA from 1 species